rnacentral:rRNA from 1 species
GAAAAUAACGGCUCCCAAGUGGAGCAAAGUGGUACUUGUGAUGUAGGUGAUGAAAUUCCUCCCCAAGCCAUAAGAAGAAUGGGUAUUGGUCAUAUCCUACCCAUUGAGGAACCCCUUGUGGCCGAAGGAGAAGGACAAUGCUCCACCUCUGUGGAGCCUUCACCUACUCAAGACCCACACGCUUCCGAAGAACAAAGUGAAGGCCCUCAACCUCGGGAACAAGACCAAGGGCAAGAUCAAUCUCAAGAUGGUGGUGAACCUCCACAUGAUGCCCAAGGUCAAGUUCUCCCCCUCGAGCAAGUUCAAGAUCAUGAG